UCACUGUAGAUCAUGAGCUCGAAUAAUGAGGAACUUGUCCAAGCUACCAAAAAAAAAUGGAAUGAGCGAUCCAAAGCAAGUGGAAUAGACAAGUUAUUUGGAGGUACCGGAUACAUAACUAUUGGUUACUACAAAACAGAGACAGAUUCUCUUAUCCAAAGUGUUCUGAAUAUGACGGCUCGACUUGCUGAAAUUUCUGAGAUGAAUUCCGAUUCCCACGUGCUGGAUCUAGGAUGUGGCCGUGGUCGACCUGUGUUAGAUACUGCUGUUAGAACGGGUUGCUCUGUAGUCGGAGUUGAUUUGGCUGAAGGUCAUAUCGCCAUGGCAAACGAGGCUGCCGAGCUCUACAAGAAGGAAAAAAAGCCCGAUCUAAAGUAUGAAUUCUAUGCGGCUUCAUAUUUCGAUCUACCUGAAGCUGUGACCAAUCAAACGUUUACCCACGUGUUGAUGCAGACCUCUAUGUUUUAUGCUCAUCACCGAAUUGAUGAAAUCCUGACAAACAUCUCCAAAGUCCUGCGUCCAGGUGGGGUUCUGGUAACUACUGACUUUCUUAGGGUUUCUGAUACGGCCGAUCUCACCAAAUUUAAGGAAAUGAAUUCCAUGCCUGUGAUUCUUUCCUUGGAUGAAAUGAAAGCUGCUUUUGUAAAGAAUGGACUAGAAUAUUGUGGUGGGGAAGAUUUGGAUAAACAUUGUAUGAAGUGCAAUGCUAUGAAGGCUCAGAAGAUUGUCGACGAAAACAUUGAGGGUCCUACUGUUGCGUUUUUCAAUAUGAGAGAAGGGUCUGUUCGGGACAAAAAGGUUUCCUUUAAAAUAGUUAUGGCAAAUAAAAUUUAAUUUUAACUAUUUAGAAUUCAAAUACUCGUAUUAUAUCAAUAUCAGUGUUAGCUAAAAUUUAUCUUUGUUGGUUUUAUGAACUUAUAGUGACCCUUUUUUAAUCGUUCAGUGACGCCGAGUUGUUUAUUUUAGCGUUACUUUAAAGUUUGAUCUUUUUCUGUUUAUAUUUUGAUGGUUUUUAGUAUAUAGUUUGACUGAAUUUUAUGUACAAUUAACAUGUAACGAUUCAUGGUUUAUGCAUAAUUAGUUGAUCAUAUAUUUAAGUUUGACUCAAUCAAGACAGCAGCAUCA